rnacentral:rRNA from 1 species
AACGAACGCUGGCGGCAUGCCUAACACAUGCAAGUCGAACGAGACCUUCGGGUCUAGUGGCGCACGGGUGCGUAACGCGUGGGAAUCUACCCUUGGGUUCGGAAUAACAGUUAGAAAUGACUGCUAAUACCGGAUGAUGACGAAAGUCCAAAGAUUUAUCGCCAGAGGAUGAGCCCGCGUAGGAUUAGCUAGUUGGUGUGGUAAAGGCGCACCAAGGCGACGAUCCUUAGCUGGUCUGAGAGGAUGAUCAGCCACACUGGGACUGAGACACGGCCCAGACUCCUACGGGAGGCAGCAGUGGGGAAUAUUGGACAAUGGGCGAAAGCCUGAUCCAGCAAUGCCGCGUGAGUGAUGAAGGCCUUAGGGUUGUAAAGCUCUUUUACCCGGGAUGAUAAUGACAGUACCGGGAGAAUAAGCUCCGGCUAACUCCGUGCCAGCCGCCGCCGUAA